ensembl:lncRNA MAPK4 mitogen-activated protein kinase 4
GAGCUCGCCGUGCGCCGUGGCUGGGACCGGCCUGGCCGAGCGCGCCGGCGCCGCGGCCGCAGACAAAGGGCGGCUCGCGCCCGGGCCGCCACGCUCUCGGGCUCUGCCUCG